CCUACGGGAGGCAGCAGUGAGGAAUAUUGGUCAAUGGACGAGAGUCUGAACCAGCCAAGUAGCGUGAAGGAUGACUGCCCUAUGGGUUGUACACUUCUUUUAUAUGGGAAUAAAAUGUUCCACGUGUGGGAUUUUGUAUGUACCAUAUGAAUAAGGAUCGGCUAACUCCGUGCCAGCAGCCGCGGUAAGACGGAGGAUCAGAGCGUUUGCCGGAUUGAGUGGGUUUAAAGGGAGCGUAGGUGGAUUGUUAAGCCAGUUGUGCAAGUGUGCGGCGCAACCGUAAAAUUGCAGUUGAAACUGGCAGUCUUGAGUACAGGAGAGGUGGGCGGAAUUCGUGGUGUAGCGGUGAAAUGCUUAGAUAUCACGAAGAACUCCGAUUGCGAAGGCAGUUCACUGGACUGCAACUGACACUGAGGCUCGAAAGUGUGGGUAUCAAACAGGAUUAGAUACCCCAGUAGUC
rnacentral:rRNA from 1 species